GACGAACCGUGCGAACGUUGUUCGGAAUCACUGGGCUUAAAGGGCGCGUAGGCGGGUUCGCAAGUCUGUGGUGAAAGCCUCCAGCUUAACUGGAGAAGUGCCGUGGAUACUGCGAAUCUUGAGGAGGGUAGGGGCAUCUGGAACGGUCGGUGGAGCGGUGAAAUGCGUUGAUAUCGACCGGAACUCCGGUGGCGAAGGCGAGGUGCUGGACCCUUUCUGACGCUGAGGCGCGAAAGCCAGGGGGAGCAAACGGG
rnacentral:rRNA from 1 species